rnacentral:lncRNA from 7 species
ACUGUGAGGAUAUCCUGGAAGUUCAGGGCUUCUCAUGGAACUGAGGUCUUUCCUUUGGCCCUGAAGUCGGGAGGAAGAAAGAAGGAGGAAGAACAGAAGAAACCAUUACAAGACUCUCUGCAGUGGUGUAGCAAAGAGACUCCUGGUUUGGAUGAUGAAAUCUAGUAGAGGAGUGAUGAAAAGCAUCUGGCAAAGAAGCCAUUAAGACAUCAUUCGGUUCCUGAGCAUUCGGGAGAGGGAAAUGUUCCAUUCACACAGCCACCGCUAGAGGCCAUCACAAACCUCAAGAAAGAAUCAAAUCUCCUUUAAUUUAUAAUGCAACUUACAUUUACAGAAAGAAACCAGAAGCAAGGCCAUAACCUGUGUCCCACAUGAGCUUAUGUUUUAUGUGUUCCAUAAUGAAAGAAAAUGUUUCUGGGCCUAUAUCGUGCUUGUUUGUCCAUGAGGUUUCUAUUUUUUUUUUUCUUUUUUCUAAAUAUUCACUGGGAAGAAGGAUUGGGUAUGGAAAAUAUUUUUUUCAUUAUUGUAAUGAUCGUUUCAAAGACAAUACAUGCGAUCUCUGCUUUAUGGAAGGGAAAUAUGGCAUUAGGUAUUUUUAUUAAUUCUUGCAGUAAAAGCAUAAUCUGCUCUGGACCAUGGAUUCUUUAUAGUAUCCCUUUUUUGCUAGGCUAGGCUCAGAUAUCAGAUGAUGUAAUAAAGAAAAUGGACCACAGUCCUAAAAUUCAGCAUUUGUUUAAUACAGUCAAUAGAUUUGCACCGAAGUGCUGUCUUUUCUAAACCUUACUGCUGGCACCACUGUGAAUAAAAUAAGUCUACU